rnacentral:rRNA from 1 species
UAAUUUGAAAUUGUGUUCGGAUAAUUGGUUUUGUUUUUGUGUAUGAAAAGUCGAUGUUUCCUUGAAGACAAGAGAGAAGGGAGGUAACAAUGGGAGAAGAAAAAACAUAUUGGAUAAUGCCAGCAGACGAAAAUAGCAAUAUGGUGGACAUUGAAAAUUUAGUCUCGCAAAUCGAAGAAAUUGAAGGUGUGCAGAUGGAGGAUAUAAAUUAUCAUAUGAAUUCUAUUAGGUUCAAAGUGACGUGUCCUUUGGAGAUAGAUGAUAUUAAAGAUAUAAUAAAAUUGUAUUACUUUAAUUCUUUUAAUAUAACUAUUAUAUAAUGAAAAUUAAAAAACAAGGACGAGUAUGAGUAUAUUAUUACCACUCGUCCGCAAAACUAAUUAUCUGAAUAAUUUUGAAUUUAAUAAAUUGAAUUUAAAAAGGUACGAAAUUGACGGUAUCAGUUGAAUAAGGGGUUACUAACUCUGUGCCAGCAGUAGCGGUAAUACAGAGACCCCAAGCGUUAUCCGGAUUUAUUGGGCGUAAAGCGCAUGUAGGCGGAUAUACUAGUCAGAUGUUAAAUCUCCGAGCCCAACUCGGAAACUGCAUUUGAAACGGUAUAUCUAGAGAAAGUGAGAGAUUGAUGGAAUUCAUGGUGUAGUAGUGAAAUGCGUUGAUAUCAUGAGGAACACCAAAGGCGAAGGCAUUCAAUUGGCACUUUUCUGACGCUGAGAUGCGAAAGCGUGGGGAGCGAAGGGGAUUAGAUACCCCCGUAGUCCACGCCGUAAACGAUGCAUAUUAGAUGUUAGGAGUAUCGACCCUCCUAGUGUCGUAGCUAACGCGUUAAAUAUGCCGCCUGGGAAGUACGAGCGCAAGCUUAAAACUCAAAGGAAUAGACGGGGAUCCGCACAAGUGGUGGAGCAUGUGGUUUAAUUCGAUAUUAAGCGAGGCACCUCACCAGGGCUUGAAACUUAGCUGUGGCUUCUAGAGAUAGAAGCGUCUUCGAGAACGCUAAGCAGGCGCUGCAUGGUCGUCGUCAGCUCGUGCCGUAAGGUGUUCCCUUAAGUGGGGUAACGAGCGCAACCCCUGUCGUGUGUUAUAUAUGUCACGCGAGACUGCCCAGACUUUAGUACACUUCGUGUACAAUUCUGAAUUUCCAAUUUUAAAUUUUGAUUGAAUGAACUAAUGUUUUAAUGACAUAAUUUUUUGAAGUAAAGCUUAAAACUUAAAAGUUAAUAUUUCGGAAUUAAAAAUUAAUUCAUUUAAAAAAUUCAAUUGAAAUUAAAAAUUCAUAAUUCAAAAUUAAAGCGAAGCGCAUUAAAGUCUGGGAGGAAGGAGGGGAUGACGUCAGAUCAGCAUGGCCCUUUGACGCCCUGGGCUACACACGUGCUACAAUGGCCAAUACAGAGGGUUGCGAAACCGCGAGGUGGAGCUAAUCCCAAAAAGUUGGUCUCAGUUCGGAUUGGAGUCUGCAACUCGACUCCAUGAAGCCGGAAUCACUAGUAAUCGGGAAUCAGCCAUGUCCCGGUGAAUACGUUCCCGGAUCUUGUACUCACCGCCCGUCACGUCAAGAGAGCCGGCAACACCCGAAGGUCUUGUGUCAUAGCAGGAACAACGGUGGGGCUGGUGAUAGGGACGAAGUCGUAACAAGGCAUCCGUAGCGGAAGCUGUGGAUG